rnacentral:lncRNA from 1 species
GUUUCAUGUGGUCACAAGAGACAAAAGUUAUAGUUCACCAAAGAUAAGAGAUUGCAGUAAUCACUCCAGAUUUUCUGUUGGAACCCAAUGGCAUGGCCAGAUGUUCCCUUCUACAGAUAUUCAUGAAUGUGCACUUGCCCCCAAUCUAGAGAAGGUUUAUGCAGAGCACCAGGGCUGGGUGGAGAAGCUAAGUAGGGACUGGAGUCUGGCAGACUUGUCAGCUGUGCUUCUUGUGGAGUGCUGCUAUUGGCUAGUUUUUCUAGUGGAAUGCCUUCUUUUGCCAUAAUGCAGAGCCACUGCCAAGAUUUGCACAUUGGUUGCUGUGAGCCUUACCCCUAUUCUUUGUUUUUUAACUGAACCCACCUGGUCUAGCCCCAACAAAACUUUCAAUGUUUCUCAUGGGGGGAGUGGUGAGGAAACUGAAUUUCUACUUCCCACUCUCUUUUCCCACUGUAGAAACCAUGGGCCCAGGAGUGAUGUGCUGGGUGAUGCUAUGCUGGCUUGAGGGAAAGAUG